rnacentral:rRNA from 1 species
AGACUCCUACGGGGAGGCAGCAGUGGGGAAUAUUGCACAAUGGGCNAAGCCUGAUGCAGCCAUGCCGCGUGUGUGAAGAAGGCCUUCGGGUUGUAAAGCACUUUCAGUUGUGAGGAAGGUGGUGUCGUUAAUAGCGGCAUUAUUUGACGUUAGCUGCAGAAGAAGCACCGGCUAACUCCGUGCCAGCAGCCGCGGUAAUACGGAGGGUGCGAGCGUUAAUCGGAAUUACUGGGCGUAAAGCGCAUGCAGGUGGUUUGUUAAGUCAGAUGUGAAAGCCCGGGGCUCAACCUCGGAAUAGCAUUUGAAACUGGCAGACUAGAGUACUGUAGAGGGGGUAGAAUUUCAGGUGUAGCGGUGAAAUGCGUAGAGAUCUGAAGGAAUACCGGUGGCGAAGGCGGCCCCCUGGACAGAUACUGACACUCAGAUGCGAAAGCGUGGGGAGCAAACAGGAUUAGAUACCCUGGUAG